AUUGAACGCUGGCGGAAUGCUUUACACAUGCAAGUCGAACGGCAGCACGGACUUCGGUCUGGUGGCGAGUGGCGAACGGGUGAGUAAUGUAUCGGAACGUGCCCAGUCGUGGGGGAUAACGUAGUGAAAAUUACGCUAAUACCGCAUACGAUCUAUGGAUGAAAGCGGGGGAUCGCAAGACCUCGCGCGAUUGGAUGGGCCGAUGUAAGAUUAGGUAGUUGGUGGGGUAAAGGCCCACCAAGACAACGAUCUGUAGCUGGUCUGAGAGGACGACCAGCCACACUGGAACUGAGACACGGUCCAGACUCCUACGGGAGGCAGCAGUGGGGAAUUUUGGACAAUGGGCGAAAGCCUCAUCCAGCCAUUCCGCGUGCAGGAUGAAGGCCCUCGGGUUGUAAACUGCUUUUGUACAGAACGAAAAGGUUUCUACUAAUACUAGGAGCUCAUGACGGUACUGUAAGAAUAAGCACCGGCUAACUACGUGCCAGCCGCCGCCGUAA
rnacentral:rRNA from 1 species